rnacentral:rRNA from 1 species
CGAAAUAGCUUUAGGGCUAGCGUCGAGGUAGAGUCGCAUGGAGGUAGAGCACUGAAUGUACGAUGGCCCCAUCCCGGGGUACUGAGUAUAAUCAAACUCCGAAUGCCAUGAUGACAUACUCGGCAGUCAGACUGUGGGUGAUAAGGUCCAUGGUCAAAAGGGAAACAGCCCAGACCGCCAGUUAAGGUCCCAAAAUGUAUGCUAAGUGGAAAAGGAUGUGGGGAUGCACAGACAACUAGGAGGUUGGCUCAGAAGCAGCCAUCCUUCAAAGAGUGCGUAACAGCUCACUAGUCGAGUGACCCUGCGCCGAAAAUGUACCGGGGCUAAGCAUACUACCGAAGCUGCGGAUUCAACUUAAGAGUUGAGUGGUAGGGGAGCGUUGCAUGCACGUAGAAGCCGUACCGUAAGGAGCGGUGGAGAGCAUGGAAGAGAGAAUGCCGGUGUGAGUAGCGAGAUGUAGGUGAGAAUCCUACACACCGAUAGCCCAAGGAUUCCAGGGGAAGGUUCGUCCGCCCUGGGUAAGUCGGGACCUAACGCGAGGCCGAAAGGCGUAGUGGAUGGAAAACAGGCAGAUAUUCCUGUACCCGCGAUGGAAAUGAAGGAAUGACGGAGAAGGCUAGUGUGAGCCACUUACUGGAUUGUGGUCGAAGCAUAUAGCAGGCUGACAGUGAAAUGCGUCAGCAGGAUGUAAGAUGUGAGAGGUAAGGGAACGUCCUCGGACAAGUACUGAAGCACAUGAUGCCAGCUUCCAAGAAAAGUUUCUAGUGAUAAUUCCAUAGCGGCCCGUACCAAAACCGACACAGGUGGGCAAGGAGAGAAUCCUGAGGUGAGCGAGAGAACUGUUGCCAAGGAACUCGGCAAAAUGACUCCGUAAGUUAGCGAUAAGGAGUGCUCUUGUAAAAGAGAGCCGCAGUGAAGAGGCCCAAGCGACUGUUUAACUAAAACACAGCUCUCUGCAAAGUCGCAAGACGAAGUAUAGGGGGUGACGCCUGCCCGGUGCUGGAAGGUUAAGAGGAUUUGUCAUCCGCAAGGAGAAGCAAUGAAUUGAAGCCCCAGUGAACGGCGGCCGUAACUAUAACGGUCCUAAGGUAGCGAAAUUCCUUGUCAGGUAAGUUCUGACCCGCACGAAAGGCGUAACGAUUUGGGCGCUGUCUCGGCAGCAGACUCGGUGAAAUCUUAGUACCUGUGAAAAUGCAGGUUACCCGCAACUAGACGGAAAGACCCCAUGGAGCUUUACUGUAGCCUGAUAUUGAAUUUUGAUCAAAGAUGUACAGGAUAGGUGGGAGGCGAAGAGACGUGUACGCCAGUAUACGAGGAGCCGCUGUUGGGAUACCACUCUUGUUUGAUUGAAGUUCUAACCUGCACCCAUGAACUGGGUGAGGGACCGUGUCAGGUGGGCAGUUUGACUGGGGCGGUCGCCUCCUAAAGAGUAACGGAGGCGCCCAAAGGUUCCCUCAGAGCGGACGG